GUUUCACAGCAGCAGCCUCCCUGGUGUCCUUGGCUUGGGCUCUAGCCUCCUACCAGAAGGCCCUGCGGGACUCUCGAGAUGACAAGAAGCCCAUCAGCUACAUGGCGGUCAUCAUCCAGUUCUGCUGGCACUUCUUCACGAUCGCGGCCAGGGUCAUCACCUUCGCGCUCUUCGCCUCGGUGUUCCAGCUGUACUUUGGGAUCUUCAUCGUCCUUCACUGGUGCAUCAUGACCUUCUGGAUCGUCCACUGUGAGACAGAAUUCUGUAUCACCAAAUGGGAGGAGAUUGUGUUUGACAUGGUGGUGGGGAUCAUCUAUAUCUUCAGCUGGUUCAACGUCAAGGAAGGCAGGACACGCUGCCGGCUGUUCAUUUACUAUUUUGUGAUCCUUUUGGAAAACACAGCCUUGAGCGCCCUCUGGUACCUGUACAAGGCUCCGCAGAUCGCAGACGCCUUCGCCAUCCCGGCGCUGUGCGUGGUGUUCAGCAGCUUCUUAACCGGCGUUGUUUUCAUGCUGAUGUACUAUGCCUUCUUUCACCCCAACGGGCCCCGGUUCGGGCAGUCACCAAGUUGUGCUUGUGAGGACCCCGUGGCCGCCUUCUCUCUGCCUCCAGAAGUGGCCACGAGCACCCUCCGGUCCAUCUCCAACAACCGCAGCGUGGCCAGUGACCGCGAUCAGAAAUUCGCAGAGCGGGAUGGCUGUGUACCUGUCUUUCAGGUGAGACCGACGGCCCCGUCCACCCCAUCGUCUCGCCCACCACGGAUUGAAGAAUCCGUCAUAAAAAUUGACCUGUUCAGAAAUAGGUACCCAGCCUGGGAGAGACACGUGUUGGACCGAAGCCUACGGAAGGCCAUUUUAGCCUUUGAAUGUUCCCCGUCUCCUCCUAGGCUGCAGUAUAAAGAUGAUGCCCUUAUUCAGGAGCGGUUGGAAUACGAGACCACUUUAUAAAACGAAAGAACUUGCAGGAGCCACAACAUCCAGAUGAAGGGGUGACAGCAGGGCUGUGGCAAUCGUGACACUUCAUCUUACAGUAGGGGCAACAAGCUGCAAUGUUCUUAGUCUGCCCCGUCCUCCUGUUAUGGUUUGAUCCUCCAUCAGCUAACUGCCUGCUGUUGGUCUUCUUUCCAACCAGCAGCACCAGAGUCUCUUAAUCCACCUGAAGGAGAGCAACACCAGCUCAGUAUGACUGUGGCUACCAAAUUCCUCCUGCACUGUCUUGGAGCACCAUCCACCAGAGGGGACUAUUAUUAUGGAAGAGUUUGCCUCCAAUCAAUAGGGUGUUUUAAUGGAGUUAACUGAUUUUUGCAUAAAAAUAUAUUCAGUCACACACACUAACACACACACACACACACACACACACACACCAGUCCUCUGUCAAAAUAGCUUAGGUGAUUUUCUCGAUGCAAAGCUCUGAUUCCUGAAGAAAUAUAAAAACAAAGAGAGAGAAUAUAUCCCUCAAGACUUCAGAAAAAAAAGUAGUACUGCUUAGAAAAGAAUUCAUAAAUCAUUUUCUCAUUUGAAAACCAAUAUCAUGUGUGGAAAAAAAAAAGCCUACUCAAUAGACAGCAAACUCAAGUGUGUUUACACAUGUAUUAGCGUUGAUGGAAUGGUUCAUUUUAUACACAUUUCAGGAUUUGUUUUUUUAAUUUUAAAUUUUCAGUUGAGAACAUCUUUAUGACAGGAAUCCUAUGCAGCACAUGUAUGGCUUUCGACAAGACCAAGGAGCUCGAUAACUUCGUGAUGUAAAUUAAAUGAUAAUCAUCUUUCAGUAUUCAAUUGCAAAAGUUUAAAACAUACACCAAUAGGAAGUGGGGGGAAAAGAGACAGAAUAAAGAGUCUGAUUCCCGGGCAUGUGCAGCUCACAUUGGAAUGUAAGCGCAGGGCCUCCAGAGAGGAGUGGGCUGCAAGUGCAUCUGUUUCCGGAUACAGAAUGAGUGGCUCGCUGUAUGCAUGUGGGCAGGUGUGAUUCCAGAAGACACUAUGCCUCAUCUUUCUAGUGCCAAACUCCAUCCAACCACAGGACUUGACACGGAAGCCCCAGUGACUGAGAAUAAGUGAUGUGAGCCCCCUGAAAGCAGACAAGAGAAUGAACAAGUUCUCCACUGUGUACAGACUUACCCACCUCCCAUCCAAGCUCAAAGUGAUAUCUCUUUUAGAGGCUUUGGGACAAUUUUAGUAAGUAUGAGCAUACCAAUGCGGUGAAUAUGCUAUAAGGAAACCCUUCUGAACUGAUUGAGGGCUUAUCACUCUAUCCAGCUAAGAUUUGUAUUUGAAUCAUCUGUAAAGUCGCACUCUUACAACAAGCUUCUGGGUUUUAAAUACCUCCGUACAGCAAGUAAACGUUCCCUGCUUUCUGUUCUCAGUGUCCUUGGUCAUGGUGCUUUUCGUUGCAUUAAAAGUGCCGGUCAAACUUUGAUAGUAUUUUUUUAUAGUUGGUGCAGAGUGGAAUAACUCAUGGAUUAUUUCAAUAUUUUUGUAAUAAAAACAUAUAGGGUAUACAUAUAGGCAUCAUCACUUUUUUUAUAGACCUGGAAUUAUUUAAAAUACUUUAAGCAUCAUAAUCACUUGGGAUGUCAGAAAUUGGUCCACAAAUUCAUCAGCCUGCCUCGGCAGAUUGAAAACACUUGUCUCUUGCAAGAUCUGCAAGUUGGUGCCCCCAGGAACCUGGCCAGGGGUGCUAUAAGAAUAUCAGGUGAAGAGAGAAACAGCCUAACUAGAAAGGGCUUGUCAAGACUGGCCAAUGUUUCCCAGGAAAUCAAAGAUGUAAAUGAUUAUUUUCAUCCAUUCAUUAAAAUAAACCUGACCACAGUGGAAGAUGUCUUAAACUUCUUUCCCUGGUUUUAUAUUAACCCAACUGAUAGAUUAAAGCUUAUUCAAGUCAUUAAAAAAGAAGGUAAAAAGUCAGAUUAAUGUAAUUAUUUACUUAUUUGGACUGUCCUAGUCUCUUAAAGUGGUCAAGUUCUAGAGCCACUGCCUGUAAUAAGUAUGUCAUCCACAAACUGCUGUCCCCAUGAGGACAUCCACAGGAAGUGACAGAGGGCUCAACCUAGGACUUCUUUUGGUACAAAGCCCCAAAUCAAUUUUUUUAAAGAUAAGACAAUUUUUACCAGUAGACGUAUUUCCUAGUACUCCAUGGCUUGAUCCUCCAAGCAAGAUUUCCACUAAACACAAUCAAAGCUAAUCAUUUUUUCGGGAUGUGGAAAGAUCACCUCGUCACUGGUAAAGCUCCAGGAGGACCCUCUUCUUGUCAGCACAUGGUGAAAAUAUUCCACCCCCAUUGUAGAAGGGGGGAAAAAAAGAUCAUUUUUGGCAAAUCCUUCACCUUUGUGCAGAAUCAUGAGUUAUUAGCUUCAUUAGUUCCAAGACAACUUUUAACUGAUGAUCUGUGGAAACGGAAUUUCUCAGUUGAACUAUACCUUGAUUCCACGAGUUAUAACAGAUGACAAUAUAAUAGUGUCAAGCAAACAAACACGACAGCCCCUUCACUCUUCUUAUCAUGUAAGUUCUAAGUUAUUUCUCAACUUGAUCCCUCACUUACCAUGUUAAGAUUUGAAACAAGGACUAUGUAAAUAAGAGAUAAUGUACUGUCCUUUAUCUUGGAGGUGAGAUUGGCAGUCAGGAGGGUGUGAGAAGUUUGAAUUUUUAAAUGAUUUCCCCAAUACUGUAAACGUUGUUAUUGGACAUUCUUGAAGACUGUGAUGUUUUAGUUAACAAUGAAUUCUUGCUAAGGAAAUGAUACAUCCUUCAUGUUAUAAAUUACAACUUUUCAGAAGAUUACAAGAACAGCAAAAAAAAAAAAAAAAAACUACUCCAGAGGUAAAUCAUGAUUUAAUCUUGCUUCUGUGAUUCAGAAAGCACACCACUGCCAUAAGACAACUUUUAUUAGUUUCUAGAGGCAUAGAUAACGGAGUUUUUAAAGUAUUGGGAUUUAAAGAGAUGUCAUCAAGGUGCAAGGGAACAAAAUUUAAUUUUUGUGUUUAAAUUUUAAUUAUUUUUCAGUCUGAUAUUAAACCCUUGCUGGAGAGUAACUGAAGAAUAAUCCAAGAGGGAUGAGCUAUGGUUAGCAUACAGAUGAAAAUAAUGGGAUUCUUUAUCGUCUAGUCUGAUUUCUGGACCUAAGUCCACUUCAAAUCCGUUGAGAGGAUGUUUCUCUUAUUAUUCACCUGUUUUGCAUAGGAUCAUGACAUUUUCUAAAGGAAAAAUACUAUAACUUUGUCUUUUACUUUCAAAUUAACAUUUUUAAAUGAAACUCUAUAUAUCCUAGCCAUGCCAAGACUUUUAAGUAUUUGCAUGAAAGAAAAAUAAAUUUUUUUCCAUGUAAGUCAAAUGUGAUUCUCCAAAGUGACUAUGUCCUUUAAAUCCUCUUCACACUUCCACAUUUUUCUACUUAACUGUGUGUUAUCUAGUUUCACAAUAUAACUUUAUAGACACUCAGUUCCUAUUCAUUUAUGAGGAAUACUACAAAUGAAAUAAAUUCUCUAAUUGAGUCAAGAUCAUGUGAUUCAAGUGUUAGCAAAAAUAAAAUACAAAGAUAAUCUGAAAAUAAAAGUAAUAUGAAGAAUUUAUGGUUAAUUCCUACAUGCCCUAUCUAUUUUGCUCUAGAAAUAAAUGAAGCGAGAGUGCUGACCAAUUAAAAGUGAAUGAGAAUAAUUUAAAUCUCAUUGACUUUUUAUUUUAUUUUAUUGAAUUUUUUAUUUUAAGAAAUAAAGGAUAUACUGCCCUUUAGUGCAUAUAAAAUGGUAUGCUACUGACACAUGAACUUUUAGAUAAGAAGCUUUUUCUUGCUGCCUUUUCCAAAUCAAGCAUACCUGUAAGACAGUAACGUACUUGUGAACUUUGGUUGGAAAUACCUACUCACAAUUCAGCACUUCUUAGCCUAAAUGAACUUUCUCACUCCUUAAAGAUCCCAUCUUUGAAGCAGCUGAAUAGAAUAGUUUUUUGUUUUCAAAGUUUCUUUCCCUGAAAAUAUUGAAUUGAGCAGAGGAAACCUCUGAUGUCCUUACCAGGAUUGUGUAAGGUUACGCAUUUACUUUCAAACGUACCAAAUGUCAUUGAGUGGAGACACGUUCUGACAUAAUGUUUAGACAAGAACAUAGAGACUUUUUUCCCUAAUGAACCAUUUUCUAGACUAAAUAUAUGCUCCCUUGCAUUCUCAACACAUCUUUGCCAUUAGCCAUUAUAGUUUCUAUAUAAAGCUUGGAUGAGAUGCCUGCAUUUUUAUGUUUCUAAGGGAAAAUUUCUUAAAGCCUUUGUAAAAAUAGCUCAGGCUGUCUUUCAGAAUAUAGCUCAGAGGAUAGUGAAACACAGGGUGACAGCACAGCAAGACUGAGGUCGUCACUCAUAUAACUUCAGUGAUGGAUGCAAAUCAAUUCACAUUCCUUUAUCUUAGCAAUCCAAUGUCACUUUUGAAAAUAAUCAAAAUCCUGCCAACUUGUGACUCAUAACAUUCCUUCUGCCUGGUGCUUGAUCAUUUCCAAAUGGCCAAGGAUGGGUCAUUUUACUCUAGUUCCAAUUUCGGAGUCAACCUCCCUUAGACCAGGCUGUGAAAUGAUCUGAACAUUUGGAUGACAUCUCUUCUUCUCACUUGGGCACCUGUACGGCAGAAUUAGGUCACUGCAAAGGUCUCUGUUGACAUAUGUUUUGUCCAACUGCUGUCCUGAAAAAUGGGCACAUGGAAAGACUCUCCAUGUGUGUCCAAGAUUGACAGUCUCAACAGGACCAUUACUCAUGCCAAAGUAAAACUGUGGACUGUGGGUGGAAUUGUAUAAAAACAUGAAAAGGCAUUUAAUUUUGCUAAUUGUAGCAAUUAGCCUAGCUGGCAAGCAUCCUGCCCCCACAACAGAAAGCCAAGAGGAAGUAGUGACAAAUAGACAUGUGUCCACAGACACAAGGGGUUCAGAAACUCUCCCCAGAGUGGCUGAGGUGUGGUAUGGUCUCACCAUCCAUCUGAAGCUCUUUCUCUAGAUUCCACAUGGAAAAAACUACCAGUCCUUUUUGAUUUGUAUGCAGUGAUCUAGCCCAGAAAUGCAAAACUCAGCAAACCUGGUGGCCUAGGUUCCACUAAAUAAAGGAUGCCAUAAUAUCCCUGGCAUGUUAAAAUGUUUCCAUGUUAUACUGACAUAAACUAAGCCAGAGACAAAAUAACUCAAUUGAAUUUGUGCUCUUAUUAUUUUGUUUCAUGGUAGAUUUUCUGGCAGUUCCAAUUUCCAUACUGAUGGUUGUUGUAGUUAAAAUUUGGAAUCUCCCCCCAAAACUCACAUGUUAGGCAAUGCAAUAAUGUUUAGAGGUGAAAAAAAAAUGGAUUAUAGGAGCUCUGAUGUCUUUAAAGAAUUCAUCCAUUUGAUGGAUUAACAAUUUGAAUGAACUACUGGGUGGUAAUGGUAGGCACGUGGGUCAUGGCUGGGGGAAAUAGGUCACUGGGGGCAUGGCCUUGGAGACUAUAUCUAUCCCGGCCCCUGACUCACAACUUCCGUGAUCUGAGCUGUUUUCCUCCACCAGGCCUUCCUUCCAUGAUGUUCUACAUCACCUUAGGCCCAAAGGAAUGGAGCUAUCUGUCAGGGACUGAAUUAUCUAACAUUGUGAGCCAAAAUAAACUUUUUCUCCUCUAAGUUACUCUUAUCAGGUGUUUCUCUCUCUCUCUCUCUCUCUCUCUCUCUCUCACACACACACACUCACACACACACACACACACACACACACACGAGUAAUAUAAUCAUUUCCCAUUACUAUGAUUGAAAGUUUAUUAUGUGCCCAGCGCUGUGCUAAAGAUUCUUAUCACAGCCAUCUGGGGUUAAACAUUUCCAGAUGAUGAAACUUCAGUUCAGAGAUGUAAACAACUUACCAAAGGCUCUAGAGCUAGGCAACAGUAGAGCUGAGAAUGGAGCCUAAUGUUUAACAACUGAGAGUCCUUCUAAAAGACCAACGAGUCUUCCAAAAUCUACUCCUGGUAUGCCAAAUCUUCCAAGUGAAGAGAAUCGUGUUCUGAUGAUCAAAUUUUUCCUAGAAAUUUUUAUUUUAAAGUCAAAGAUAUCUUUCAAAAUGAAAAGUUAAAAAAAAGCUAAUGAUGAGAAAAUGGGAGUCUUAUCAUUUAUAACUGAAUCUUUCUUUAAUUCGUAGUAGGCAAAUCAAUGCUGUUCUUCUACCCCCAGACAAUGGUGCCCUCAUCAUAGUGCUACUCUGCAUUAAGUUAAGUGAUAAAUACAAUUUAACUUAGUACUUCUUCUCUUGUAUGAUUCUGUUAUCCAGUUAGGCAGAAUGAAAAAUAACUAAACCCCACUAUUUACUUUGACAUGCUAAAGAGAGAGAAAGAGAGGGAAAGGGGGAGGAAAGAAAAGAGAAAAGAGAAAAGAAGGAUAGAAGGACAUAGAGCUAAAAAAAAGUCUCUGAAGUGGCAUCAUUUUUAUAUUAUAAGGUAAUUCUGUUCCUGCAAUCCUUUUCCCUAAAUUUCAUUUGCUAUCUUGAAGGUCACAAAAUUUUAUAUUUAUGAUGAUUAUAAAACCACUAGCUGAAACCAUCAUAUAAUUCUAGGAACAUUAUCUUAGAUUAAAGGGUUAAAUGAAAGAAUAUAGCAAAUACUUAUCCUAUAGUUAUUGAAUUAUAACUGAUGUGUUCUCUCCCUUCUCACUAAAUGUAGCAUCCCUGAAGUUCAGCAAGAUGUUCCAGUUGACAGCAAUGAUGUCAUUGCACACACGUGUGUGUGUGUGUGCUGUUUGAAUUGAUUCUUUCGAAGUAGCCAAUAAUAAACCCAAAACUUUCUCAACAGUCUGAAUGUAAUGCAUUAAAAUAUGAGUAGAUUGAUUCAAUCAAAUCUUUAGGAGCUUAUGUCAAAUUAGAAGUCACUAAUGUUUAAAGGAGAUAGCCUCUAAAAGAAAUCUAAACGUUACUUCAUGACUCUUAUUUUAUAGGAGAGGCAACCAAGACCCAACGAGAUCAGGUAAUUUUUGUAAUCAUUAUUACAUACUCUACACACUUAUUGAUUCACUCUGUCAUUCAUCCAACAAGCAUGACUUCUAUUAGUAAGACUGCCAGGCAAUCCACAGAAGGAAUUCUGCAUUUAGUUACUUAUAAUACAGUUAGGAGCAGCUGAAGCAGCUUUAUGACUUCAACUUUAACUCUUUUUCUCCAGCAUGCUGCUACUUCUCUUUCCAAUAUCUAUGUUUAAUUCUAUAUUAAAACAGUGAGGAAAUAUAAGCUUUUCCAAGGCUAUCCUGUAAACCUCACAAUGAAUCAUUCCCACACACAAUGACAAACAGAAGGUAAGAAUUUAAGUGCAAAGAUAAAUUAACAUUAGAUGGCUGCCAAUAAACAGAAAAGCCAUUUAAUAACUUGUUUUUAUGGCUCUCCAACAGUAAAUGUUUUUUAAUCAAAGUCACAAAGCGACAACACCAACAAAAUGGAAAUACUCUCUUGGCACGGAGUAUUUGUCUUAAAACCAUCAGCUCUGAAUAAACUUUGGAGAUAGGCCUGAGAAUUCCUUUCAAGAAAAGUCAUAAAAUUAGGCAGCCUCUUUAGUAUUGGAAGUUUUCCAAUAGGUUGCUUCUUUGAUUUUCAAGAAAGCAGAAUUCAUUAGCACAUACAGUAUUUCUCCAGCAUACUAGUUAUUUAGGAAUAACAAUUUUGGAGAUGAAUCUCAGCUGUUAUUACUUGGGAGAUCAUGCUAAAGUGAUAACCUUCUGUGCUCACAGCACUCUGCCCACUUAUAUGUCAGAAGACAGGGCAGCCAGCCCCACGCCUUGGGGACAUCACAGUAGCAUUGUGUCCAAUCCACAUCACUCCUGCAAUGCUACCGUACCAGGUGACUCUCAGAAAUAGAAGGAGUGUAUUAUUAAAGAUCAUUAUUAAAUUGAAUAACUAAUUUUCUUUAAAUGAAAUAAUUCUGGUUAGGUGAUUUUUAAGACUGUUGGUCUCUAUGAAGUACACAGAAAGAGAGAAGAGAGAAUAUUAACUUUUACAAGUCCAGAAUCCUUGAGAAAAUUUUUGGUGAAGCUCAUUUAGCAUUGACAAAAAAAAAAAAAAAAAAAGAGUUCAUGUAGAAAUGUUAAUACAUCAGGACCCCGAUUUCUAGGUUCCAGCCACCAUUAUCACAUUCAUUACCACGGUUAUCACUGUUUUCACCACUCACAGCAUGAGAGGAAGCCCGUAGUAACUGAUUAAGAUGUUUGCAGAGCAAAGAUCAUAUCUAAUAUCAAAUCAGCAUCAAAUUAAUUAAUCAAAAUAAUAAGCAAAUAUUACCAGCACAGUGCCAACACAAAAUUUCCUCUUGUGCUAUUAUUGAAGCCUGUCACCUACUUUGUUAUUAGAAUUUCAGAAAAUGUAAGGUUUUGUGUUUUUAUUAUACUUCCGUCUACCAAAUUAAGCAGGUUGGCCCUCUCCUUUCUCUUGUGCUUAAUUUGCAUUAAAAUGGAAUUAAUCAAAUUCUUACUUCAAGUGCUGAAAAUAGGAACAAAUGGAGAUGUUGUGUUUAAACUAAUCUAAUUUAACUGUUGUAGUGGCAUUCUGGCAUGGAGUUGUAUCCAAUCAACACUUAAAUAUUUCAAAUUAAUUCAUUUAUCAGUAAGUUCGAAAACACCUCUGAGUGGGUUGAAAAUAAAUUUCAGUUUUAUAUCAUUGUAAGAAAUUCUUGUUUAGAUUACAAACCAGCAGAACACAUCUUAAUACACACCAGCAUUUCAAUCCAUUGUGAUUCUGGAAAAUGAGCACUUGUAUUUGAAUGUGUUGGGCACUGCUAUGUUCGCAGAGCAAUUAAACUUUGACCUGUGGUUCUCUAUGGAGCCCCCUGUGAUUUCUUAUUCUAUUCAAAUUGGGAGAAAUAGAGCAUGAGCCUGUAACCAAAGGAGACCUGUCAGCUAGUAAAAGAACUGUCAUUUUAUAUCCUGCUUUCAAAGAGCUAAAAUAUUCGGCUUUCCUUAUUAGCCUUUCUAAUGCAUUGUACAUAAAAAGGAAGUGGAUCUCCAAAGUAUGUUUUAAAAGCCUGAGGUGAAACAUUUUCCUUAUUCUGAAUCAAAGGCAUGGCAUUCUGUGAAAGGAUAUAAAACUCUGCUCCUUUAAGAAAGGGGAAGGGUGGAAGUGAGCCCUUGGUGCUCAGAAAUAGUCUCCCCUGUCCCAAAGCUGCAUGUUGCUGAUGCUAUCGAUUCCCUUCUUUUUCUUACAGAAACAUCUUGGAACUUGUCAAGUUUUACUGGCGGUGAUUUGCAGUUAAUUAAUUCAACAGACACUUUAAUCUUGCAAAUUCUUGACUUGUAAUAUUGUAAUCAAGCUAUUGCAAGGGAACAGUAAUCAGUUAGUGAAAAAGGAGCCCUUGGUUCUGCGUCCCGUGCCAUGACAGUGCCCAGGCCCGAAGAGAAAGACCUCUGUGCUGCAGAGCUAUGAAAUCAUGCUACGUGGUUCCUCAACACUGAUGCUAUGAAUAUUCAGCCACCUCCUUUGUUUUUGCCAGUAAGCACUACUUUGAAAAACAAGUUCACGGAUUCCUGGGGGCUUGUGUAGCUCAGAGAAUGGGUAUGGGUCACCGAAGACUUGCUUCCAAUGGAUUCAAAUCCAUGUGUUUGGAAAUGGAAAAAAAAAAAGUCACUGUCAUCUGUUUAAUAAUUAAUCUGUCUGAGUAGAGUUGCUGCUUUUAUUUCAUUUAUUGAGACUAUCAUUGUCAGCAUUGUAAUAACCGAUUUGUAAAGCCUGAGUUUAUAAUUCAGUUUAGAGGUCAAAUCUGCAUGGUUGUAACUAUUGAAUAAUUUGAUGCUUGCCUUCCUGGGUGAUGACAUUUCCAGUUCCAAAUGGAAAUCCAUUUCUAUGUGGACUUGACUGCCCGGUUGCUUCUUGGAUCCUGCAAAAGCUUGCUUAUUAGCUUAAAAAAGAUCGCCCACUGAUAUUCCCAAUGCCUACAUUUUCACUUAGAAGUAAAAAAAGGUGAUCUCAUAAUUAAAAAUCAUGGUUCUUUUCCACUUCUCUUUUCUCAAAGAAAGGUCAAAAUGAAGUUACCAGAAAUUAUCAGAUCAUACUUUCAGAGUAUGUAAGAGAGUCAGGCAUCCAUGUGUUCCUAUAGUUUUUAGUCUAAAGAAUUGGUAUCAGUUUUAGGAGUUAACUCCAGACAAAUGAACAGAAGUCAUCAGAUGCAUCCAAUAAGUAGUCUAGAAGUAAAAAUGUGAAGAGGAAGAAGUAGGAUCAUUUUUCUUCUGUCUGAAAGAUACUGCUCUUUCCUAAGAGAGGACAUAACCAUCUUGGUGGUUAUGUCCAAGAUAUUCCCAGAGCUACUGAUUUUCCCAGUUACGGACACUAACAUCAUGGCAAGUGAAUUUUCAGAACUAAUUCUUUAUCAUAGGCAAAAAAAAAAAGGAAUGGUAGGAAAGUGGCCUAAUGUGACUGAUUUCUGAUUGCAAGGCUAUGACAACUAGCAAGUUAAAGAAAACGUUCAUCUCCUGAAUCCCACAGCCACCUUAGACACAAAAAUAUCCUUUAAUGUAUAAUAAGUUGGUGAACUGUGGUGAUCUAGGAGCAACAAACAGUUCUUUUCUGCAGGUUCAUGGGAAACAGUGACUUCAGCAGAGCUGAGUGUCAGGACAGAGCGUUUCUAUUAAUGAAGAGGCCCAAGUACAGUGAUUGAAAAGAAAACCUGUCAGUGGUCCGUCAAAAAAUACUUACCUUUUUAGAGCAGAAAUUCAGAGUAGUUACUGCCAUUCUAUAACUAUGACAACAGACUUCUCCCCUUGGAAAAGUCAGGGUCUGAUUAAUGUGGGGAGAUGGAGGAUAUGUUGGUAGCUUCAUAUGUAAGAUUGAGUUUCCCUCAUGAUGAUUCUCCUUGAUCACUGGUUCCCAUACUGCUCUGCACACCAAGAGUGGCUGGUGGAUUAUAAGAAAAGACAUUUUAAGGUAUUGUAAUUAAUUCUUGCUUGUCCAAUGCAAACCAUAAACCUAUCCAUCCUUUUAACAGCAAUGAGAUUCAGGGUUACCAUGGCCUUAGUCAACGUCCCAUUGUAAAUAUACCAUGACAUCACAACAGCCUCCAUAUCCGAACCCACUCGACCAGGUUUACCAGUAUUAGACUCUUUUAAAUGUAGUUUGGAUCUUGAUUCUACCAAUCACCUAGUCUGUGUAUUUAUUCUCAAAUUGGAAAAAAUAAUUCUUAGGAGGAUGAUUUUCAAAAUAAUGGAAACAAAAAUAAAUAAAUAAAUAGAUGGACAGUUAAGCAAUUUUUCAACAUAGACAAAACCACUGGGCCAUUGAUAGCCCUAAAGCUCUGAUUUUUCCUCAUGACUAACUUUCUUUUCAUUUGAGGGCUUUUGAUGUUUGAAUUUUCCAAGUGAUUGCUGAACCAUCUUUACUAAACCAAAGUAGACACUACAGAGUUAUUAAAAAAUAAAGACUGUCCACAUGAAUGCAAACAUCCCAAUGAAAAGCGGAGAAGCAGGUCACUCAAGUGGUAAAUUUGGCCUUCAUGAUAGCAAGCAUCUGGAUACUAUACAGAAGUGUCCAGAUGUUGGAAGCAUACAGUUUUCUGUCUGGUUGUCUGGUGUUGUCUAGAAAGACAAACUGCUCAGGUAUUAUAGGUACUGGACUUUCUUGUGCAGUAAUCGAUUGCUGGUGAUAUUCUGCUACUAAAAGUCUCUUUGUCGUGCAAAGAGAAAUAAAUAAAGCAGAGCCAAUCUUAUGUGAUUUUUAUUUACUUUCAGCAAGUGCAUGAAGGGAAGAGGUUUGGCAGGCUCUGUCCUGGGCACUGCACACAUGACUGUAGCACGGAGCUCCAUAGGAGCAGCAGUUCUAGAAACUCUUUCCAGGCAAGGAAAGGAACUGUUCAGCCUUUACUACCUUCUGUAAUUUUAUUAUUGCAUUUCUGCUGUUGGUAAAAUCUUCAUCAUUCACAGUCCACUUGACAGAAUGGUUCAAGGGAAAAAUAAAUCUGAUUAGUUUUUAUUCUUCAAAUAGGAGUUUUAACCUUAAGCAUUCCAUAUUAUAGCAUAAGCCCCCCAAACACUGCUUGAUGCAAUUAUUUCAUGGUGAAUUCUAUGGUGUCACCAGAUAAAAAGCUGUUUUUCCUAAAUCGAAAAAAAUACCUAACUUUUGGGGUUUGGUUUGUUGAUAUCAUUCCAAUUUCCUAAUAUUAAUUUGUUAUCAUGAAAAUCAGGAAUAUUCGUGUUUUCCUUGUGGUCAUUGUUAGGAUUCCCCAGAAAACAGAAAAUCUUGACUUUGAAAGGAAAUUUACCUUCUAGGAAAAAAAGUUUGAAAUGUUCAUACCAACUCUUGUAUUAAUGAUGUUUUCUUCAUAUUUCUUCUUUGUAAUGUUAGAAAGUUGAUUGUUUCUUCUGAUUUGGCUCUGGGUUGGUGAACAUGUCCAAUCUGAAGCUUGGCAGAAAAACAGACAAGCUAUUCAUUCCUUCUUUCAGGUCCCUGGGAUUGGACCCAGGGGUGCUCUAUCACUGAGCUAUAUCCCCAGUCCUUUUUUGGGGGGAGGGGGACAAGAUCUCAUUAAAUUGCCCAAACUGACCUUGAACUUGUGAUCUUCCGGCCUCAGUUUCCUGAGUCACUAGAAUUAUAGGUGUAUGCCAUCAUAUACCUGCCUGAGACCAGUUUCCUUUUAAGAAUGCUUAGUUGCAAAACUUGCUAGGAUGCACUGACUGUGUGCAGGCACACAGAGCCCUGAAAGGUAUAUAGAGAUCUUACAGAGAUUUUCAAUGACAAUCUAAAUGGUCUGAAGGUUCUUACAUAAUGUUUCCAUUGUGUCAAAUUCUAUAUUCAGUGUCAAUUAGGAAGAAAUGCAUGGGGUAGUUGGGCAUUUGGGCACAUACCAAUAAUCCCAGUGAAUCAGGAGACAGCGAGGCUGGAGGAUCACAAGUCUGAGGCCAGUCUGGACAACUUGGCAAGACCUUGUCUCAAAUUAAAAACUAAAAGGGCUAGGAAUGUAGCUUGGUGGUCCCCUGGGCUCAAUCCCCAGUAUCAAAAAAAAAAAAAAAGAAGAAGAAGAAAAAGAAGAACGUCGUGCAGUAUUCAUUGAAGCUCCUUGCUGGUCCCUCUGUCCCUCAGAUGCAGAAGUUUCCCUGACAUCAAAUGGAUAUUCUACUGAGUAGCAAGGGCCCCCAGCUAUGUGGUGUCAUUGCCCUCUGCUAAUUGUUUUGUUCCCCCACUUUGGAGGUGAGGUCAUGGUUGUCCUUCAGAACCAGUGGACGUGUGCACCAACCCAAUCUGGUUUUCCUUUUCUUUUCUGGUAUAAUUUUUACUUCACUAUAUCCUUUCCCUAGUCUUCUCACAUUCAUGUGAUUGAUAGGAUGUUUAGCUGAUUUCACAACAAAAAGGUGACAAUUAGCAAUCACAAAAAUAAUGUUUUAGUAAGUCAUCUUUGAUUAUGUGAUAAUUGGUAUGAAAUUUAUGGUUUAGUAGAAAACCAAAACCCCUGUGUUAAAUAUAAUGACUCUUAAAAAUAUUCAAUAUAGUUCAUGAAAUAAUACCCUUUUAUGCUAUGAGAUAAGUUCCAUUCUGGACGUAGCAACCUGAGGGGUUAUGGUCCAGUGUGGGGGAAAAAAAGAAUUAGAAAUCCACUCAUGUGUGCAUCCUAGUAGCUGGUCCAUGUGUUCAGCCUCAGAAAUUAACUCAGCCUCAUUUUUCCCAUAUCUGAAAGAAAGAGAAUAUUUAUUUACCUACCUCAUAGGGGUGUUGUGAAGACUAACGAAGAGGGUUGGUGAAGCGCUUUGGGGUUAGAAAGCACUGUCUUUCUUGCUAAAGAACAGACACAUAAAGGAGAGCUGUGUGCAGCAGGAAGGCUGGGCUGAGGAGCCGGUGAUGGAGUCCUCUGAGGAUCACAGCAGCAAUAACUAACCAAGCCAAGAAUACAAUCAUUCAUCAUCACUUGAUAUAAGUAAAAGUUUCCUUUGAAGUUCCCUGUCAAAUUUUUAAACAAUUAUCAGCAUUUUAUUGUGAAAAGUAACUUCUCUCAUACAGACAUUGAGACUCUUGGUAUAUAUGGACCAUUUUCCUGUAAGCCAAACUGGAUUUUACUAAACGUUUAUUUAAUGCAUUUUGAAAAUGUGGCUCCUUUUGAUGCCUAAGGAUUGAGUGUGCAUGAUCCCAAACUGCAUUUUUCAGAACACGGGUGUGAGACCCAGUUGACUCCUAAUGAUGCUGAGUGGUCUGAAAUCCACUCCUAGGGAAGAAGAUUCUUUAAUGAUGUGCUUGAGAUUAGAUUCUGGGUCAUUAACAUUGUGUAUCUUUCUUACUUCUAAGAUGACACAUCUCUCCCUUUAUAACCCAUGGAGAAACGAAUAGCUUUGUUUUCUGUUUGGAACUUCUGAAUUGAUUCAUUUUCACAUCAAUAUACAUAUUUUAAAUAUUACAGAGAAGUGUAAUACAGGGAUUUAGCAAUACAGGAAUAUCCAUGUGCUUACUCAUGUACAGAUGUGAAUUCUUAUAAAGGACAAAGGAGAUGGUCGAAAAACAACCUCAGAGAAUAUCCUGUACAACUCCCCCAAAGAAAUGUGUUUUCUCUUAAAUGAUUAACCUGAUUAGAACUAAUGCUUAAAAAAAACAUGAUUUGGAAUUAUAAAUAUUUUCAUUUUUUGAGUUAUGGAGGCAAAAUUAUGAAGUAGGAACUCACCCAUAAAACAGUAUCUAACAAUGCAGAUAAUGUUUUCAUGAUAUCACUUCAUGAAGCAAAGUUCUGGAUAAAUAUCAACAUUGUAGCCUUUUUAAAUUAUUAGAUUCCUUUCAAAAAUGUUUGCAUGUUGUGAAAAAUAUGGAAUCAGGCUUUAGAAAGUUUACCCUGAAUAGAGAGUUUUAAAUCACGUUGUGCUUGGAGCUGAUGUAACACUCACAUUCAAUAUAAUCUUUUCUGAUUCUAAAAUAUAGCUGCCAAUGGUACAUCAAAGUCCUAAAAUUUCAAAUUGAUUAGACAUUUCUAAUGCAUGGGAUUAAGAUUUCUGAAGCAUAAAUUAAACCUAGGCAAUUUUCUAAUUCAUUUUGAAACAUUUGUACUGCCACACCAAACUUUAGAUAAGUAUUGUUUUGAAAGACCAGUAAUAUGAGUAUUGUGAUUCAAAAAUAUAAUUUGAACAUUGCUGGCUCCCCACCCCCAGUUCCUAGUGUCAAUAUUUUUCCAACUCAAAAUGCAUCAGAAUAUCCUUUUUUGAUAGAAAGGAAAUGUCUGUUUGUUUUUAUUUGGUUUUGUACAAGAAAACUAAAGUUGACUAUUUGGACUAGAUUCAGGGGGCUGGAGGAGAGAAAAGGCAAUUUUGCAGGUGGGUUAGAAGAGAGGAAGGCAGUGGGAACAAUUUGUCCCAAGUAGACUUUAUCAUAAAGGUACAAAGUAGGAUCUAAAUAUGUUUAGAGCUGGACAGGUCUUUGAAAUGAUAGAGUCUAGAUUAUUCAUCAAACAUAAAAACAAGUGCUGACAACAUAUUAUUUAGGUAUAAGUGAUACAUCUAAUUACUGAGGGAGAAAACUUGAAUCUUUUUAAGGACCACAAGGAACUUUCCAGUGCUCUCCCUGAAAAUUUGAGACUCUUAGAAAAACUAGUUUUUAGCAAAGAUUUAUGUAAUUAUACUGCUAUCGUCAACUAGCCAUUCUAUAAACAUCACACCUGUGAUGUUUUGUAAAGCUAGCUGUCAACUUUUCUGACUACUUCUGGUUAACAUUCUUUUCUAUAAACGGAUUAUUAAAAAAUAAUAAAAACACCUGCAAAUUCUCUUACACUCAAAAGAAAUGUCUCCCUUCUUAUUUAUAGCUAACCAUGUCACGGGGCCCAAUAUUAUCACAGAACUCCUUUCAUAUUUAUAUGAUCUAGGAUAAAUGGUGAAUCUUUUGGUCAAUUGUAGGUCUCACCUGAAAUCUUCAUUUGGAAAAGGGACAAAUUGAAAAGGGAUCACAGUUAUCCUGAGGUGAGAACUUGACCUCUACUAAAUAAUGUCUGCUUUUCUUCUCGGUAGCCAGACAGUUCAGUAGCGUCCAGAAUGAUAAAGGGAAGGAUAUGCAAAUAUGUUUUUCCAUUCUCAGAAGGAAGAGAGCAACCAAUGAGCCAGAAGUUUUCUCCCUCCUUCAAACCACUGAAUUUAGGGUUUAAGACAAAAAUUGCUAAAGUGAAAAUGAAAUCAUUCUUCCUAUUAAAUCUUUCCUCAGUUUUUACUAAUUUAGUUUUACAGUUAGAAAUGGAGUUUCCAGUGAUAACAAUUAACACCAUUUCAUUUGAUGGCUUGAAUGCAGAAAUGGUGAAAGUAUGAGAUGACUGUGUAUGAAAAGCUCAUCUGUACUCCAUCCAUUCUGGAUGCAGGUAUGGAAAUAAAUACUACUACUGUUCCUAUUCUGGUUUAACUACUAAUCCAAUGGAAAAACAAACAUUUUGUUCACCAUUAAACCAUUGCAUAAUAUAAAACCUGCUUCCCAAUGUCAAGGAUUUGUUUGGUAUGGACAUUUGCUCUUCAUCCUCCAGUUUCUUUUAAGUAAAAUAAGUUUCACAUCUAACUACCUCAGCUACUGUUGUUUUACUUAAAAACAUGAAAUCCUGCACUUUGUAAUUGACAAAGUCUUUUCAUUUAAAAUUUCAAAAGGAUACUCGGUGCAAAGCAAUUUUCACAAAUUUGUAUAUGACGUAAACAACCCAACCUCAGGAGGUUGUAGUUCAUUUUACUUGUUUCUAUUCAGAGUAAAAUCUUCAUUUCCACUCAACACCAAGAGAGGCUGCUCUGUAUUUGCUUAAUUUGCCUUAAACAUUUUGUGCUCCUUUCUCCGUUCAAUUUUUGGUUUUUGUCGUUGUUAUUGUUGUUGUUGUUGUUGUUGUUGUCGUCGUCGUCGUCGUCACUUUGAAUCUAUCUCUGAAAAAAAAAAUGUAACAGGUGGCAGAUGAACAGCAAGCCGAUGAGAAUGGACCACUGAUUUCUCAGUUCCCUUUUGUCCACUUGUCUGCAUGACAUUCUGAUUGUGCAAAAUUGCCAUUCCUGUGCUUCUGUCUUCAUUACAGAAAUACAGUGUGUGUGUGUGUAGGGAAUGGUGAAGAAACUUCCCCUAGAGCGAGCACAGUGCCUGGACCCAAAGGAAAACCUUGGAGGUUCCUUGUGCUUUUUACUUUGUAAACAUUGUACAAAUGUAUUUGGAAUUUUAUUUGAAAAGAUGAACUAAACAAGUUAUGAAUUUGUUUUCCUUCCUGUAAAUAUAUAUAUUCCCAAUUCCAUGUAUCUGAACAUUCCUUUAGCAUUGGGCUCAUAAGCGUGUCUUUAUCUGCUGGAGGCCGCUGUCCCCAGGCAGUGACCCCAAGUGCUCUAGUUCAAAGCACAGUGCGUGGAGUAUGUGAUGUACUACAGUACCAUAGUUAUUUUGGUCUGUUAAGUAAGUUGCAAUUUGUGAUGAAACGAAGUGGAAAGUAGUACUUCAUAAAAAAAAUAAUAAAUUUCCUUGGUUAUCUGAUUUUUCUUGUAAAACUUUAAAAAAAGAAAAAAACUUGAAAUUUUAUAUAUUUGGAUUUUGUAGAUUUUUUUUAUUUUAUUGCAACACAAGGUACCAAAAUCAUUAAAUAAAGUACACUGUGGUCAUUUUAACAGAA
rnacentral:lncRNA from 1 species